rnacentral:rRNA from 1 species
GGGUUUGAUUAUGGCUCAGAACGAACGCUGGCGGCAGGCCUAAUACAUGCAAGUCGAGCGCGCCCUUCGGGGUGAGCGGCGGACGGGUGAGUAACGCGUGGGAAUAUGCCCUUCUCUAAGGAAUAGCCUCUGGAAACGGAGAGUAAUACCUUAUACGCCCUUUGGGGGAAAGAUUUAUCGGAGAAGGAUUAGCCCGCGUUAGAUUAGGUAGUUGGUGGGGUAAUGGCCUACUAAGCCUACGAUCUAUAGCUGGUUUGAGAGGAUGAUCAGCCACACUGGGACUGAGACACGGCCCAGACUCCUACGGGAGGCAGCAGUAGGGAAUCUUAGACAAUGGGGGCAACCCUGAUCUAGCCAUGCCGCGUGUGUGAUGAAGGCCCUAGGGUCGUAAAGCACUUUCGCCAGAGAUGAUAAUGACAGUAUCUGGUAAAGAAACCCCGGCUAACUCCGUGC